CCUACGGGAGGCAGCAGUGGGGAAUAUUGCACAAUGGCGGGAACCCUGAUGCAGCGACGCCGCGUGAGUGAAGAAGUAUCUCUGUAUGUAAAGCUCUAUCAGCAGGGAAGAAAAAAGGACGGUACCUGAGUAAGUAGCUCUGGCUAACUACGUGCCAGCAGCUGCGGGAAUACGUAGGGGGCAAGCGUUAUCCGGAAUUACUGGGUGUAAAGGGAGCGUAGACGGCAAUGCAAGUCCGGAGUGGAAUGUGGUAGCUCAACUGCCGAACUGCUCUUGAAACUGUAUGGCUUGAGUGCAUGAGGGGUAAGCGGAAUGCGUGGUGUAGCGGUGAAAUGCGUAGAUAUCAGGAGGAACACCGAUGGCGAAGGCAGCUUACUGGGCCGUAACUGACGUUGAGGCACGAAAGCGUGGGUAGCAAACAGGAUUAGAUACCCGGGUAGUC
rnacentral:rRNA from 1 species